GAUUUUAUUAGAUGGGUCUCAUGAGAUCUGAUGGUUUUUUAAGGGGUUUCCCCUUUUACUUGGCUCUUAUUCUCUCUUACCUGCCACCGUGUAAGAUGACCCUUUCACCUUUGUCAUGAUCUUGAGGCCUCAGCCAUGUGGAACUGAGUCCACUAA